GGGCCCGUAGCUCAGCUGGUCAGAGCAGCGGACUCAUAAUCCGUUGGUCCCUGGUUCGAAUCCAGGCGGCCCG
rnacentral:tRNA from 1 species